rnacentral:sRNA from 2 species
GAUGACCGGUCGACAGAAGUGCAUCGGCAGGAGUGGAGGACCCAAGCACGACGGGUCGCCGGGACGGUCACGCCAUGACCGGGCCCGAGCAGCCCUUGGGGUGAAGCCGCGUCAGCGGCCGGGCAACUUCGCCAGCCCGAAUCCGACAGGUCAUCCUUCACAGGCGGCUGACGAAGGGUUG